rnacentral:rRNA from 1 species
CCAGACUCCUACGGGAGGCAGCAGUGGGGAAUAUUGCACAAUGGGCGCAAGCCUGAUGCAGCCAUGCCGCGUGUAUGAAGAAGGCCUUCGGGUUGUAAAGUACUUUCAGCGGGGAGGAAGGGAGUAAAGUUAAUACCUUUGCUCAUUGACGUUACCCGCAGAAGAAGCACCGGCUAACUCCGUGCCAGCAGCCGCGGUAAUACGGAGGGUGCAAGCGUUAAUCGGAAUUACUGGGCGUAAAGCGCACGCAGGCGGUUUGUUAAGUCAGAUGUGAAAUCCCCGGGCUCAACCUGGGAACUGCAUCUGAUACUGGCAAGCUUGAGUCUCGUAGAGGGGGGUAGAAUUCCAGGUGUAGCGGUGAAAUGCGUAGAUAUGUGGAAGAACACCGAUGGCGAAGGCAGCCUCCUGGGACGCAACUGACGCUCAUACACGAAAGCGUGGGGAGCAAACAGGAUUAGAUACCCCCGUAGA